UACGUAGGGGGGCAAGCGUUGUCCGGAAUCAUUGGGCGUAAAGAGCGUGUAGGCGGUCCGGUAAGUCCGCUGUGAAAGUCGGGGGCUCAACCCUCGAAUGCCGGUGGAUACUGUCGGGCUAGAGUGCGGAAGAGGCGAGUGGAAUUCCUGGUGUAGCGGUGAAAUGCGCAGAUAUCAGGAGGAACACCGGUGGCGAAGGCGGGUCUCUGGGCCGAUACUGACGCUGAGGAGCGAAAGCGUGGGGAGCGAACAGG
rnacentral:rRNA from 1 species